rnacentral:ncRNA from 1 species
GGAAAAGCGAUGACGAAGAGAAGUAGCAUGAAUUAUCGUUUACAGUGAGCGGGGAAUGGUGAGAACCCCGUAAAGUGAAUUCAUGCGAAUAACACUUCACCAGCUUCAAUCUGAAAGUCAUAUUUGUAUAUGACGAGUAGGUGCGACGUAAGCCGUACGUUACAACGGCAAACACUAAGGAGUGACUGUACAAAGGGGUACAGUAAUUCAGGUGGUACCGCGGACAAUGAUAGUGCUGUUCGCCCUGAAA